CGUCUUUGUUACUCCACUUCCUGGUAUGAAUUUCGUGUGCUACUCCACAUCCUGGUAUGAAUUUUACCAUAUCUGUUGUUACAUUCUGCUUCAAUGCCAAUGCUUCAAGUUUUCCGAGUGCCAAAAUGAUAGAAUUGAUUUCUCAAGUCGUCUGGAGUGGGGCGAUCGAAUGAUUAAGGGGGUUCAAGCUCAUUGAUGUUUUGCAAGGUCUUGUCAGAAGAGACGAUAGAUGAUUGCAACUGUCUCCAAGGUAAUGGCAGAAGAGUCAAAAGCUCAUCAGUAGGAGGGAAAGCCUUUUCCAUGUUCUGCUAAAAGAAUUGUCUAUGAAAUCUGGUUCGCUUUCCCUAAAGAGACAAGGCUAUCAUUAAGAAAUUAAAGAUCAGGAGAGACCUGUGAACUUUUGGCUAUGGACUUCUUCGUGAGUACAGAGGAUCCAUUCAAAGAGGCUCCUCUCUUUACUGCCUGUUCUGUAUCAAGGUAUGUAAUGAAAUCUCUUCUUAGGAGGAUUACUCUUACAGUGUAGUUUGUGUUUUAAGAAUCAAAUGUGUAGCAUUCAAUUGGACAUUUAAUUUUUAAUUAACACCUACAACUGUCGUUAAUAGAGUCCAUGCCUUUAUUCAUUACCUUCAAACUUUAACUGUUGUUCAUUAUAAGAAGCACUCAGUAACCUCUUGCAGAAUCUAAUCACUAGGCACAAAAUGCCAUUUCUAUCCAUGGUAUUGAAGUUUAUGUUAAACAUUUAAUUUACAUUUACUUAGUCAAAGUUAAGCAAAAAGCCAAUCGCUCCGAUUGCUGGAUUCAGAUGCAUUCUGGUUGAAAGUUUCUUUUCCAUUGCUUGAGAGUUUGCAUAGUUGCCAGCUGACAGGGUUCAGGGUAAUUAGUUUCCGCUUCAGAGAAAUUAUCCUUGAUUCAGAGUCUCAUUUAUGGGGUGUUAGCUCCACAACUGUAUCCUCAGGACCCUUUAACAGUUCAGCAGCAUCAUAUAACCCCAUGCCCUGGGUGCUUGUGCCAUUGAGAUUAUAGCUCUAGGCAUGACACCAUCACAGGUAAGUCAUCAUAAGAUUAAUAUUCACUUAUUGUUUCUGGAUUCAAUUGUCCGAAGCAAUAAGUGAAUAUUAAAAUGGAUUGUGAAAAUCUGAUAGCUUUGACCAUAAGAUUCAUUGAAGCUCUAAUCCCACUUCCAAACCGACUCCUGUCAGAGCCCCCUUAGUACCAGACCGCAAACUGCUGAACUUUUCUGGCUCCAAGAAACGUGUAAAAGGACCAUUUGAAGUUGCAAGCAUCUUUCGAAUUGCUGCAUAUGUCUCUUCAAGUGUAUUCAUGGGUUCAUGGCAAAGCGCAUCUUCUUUAUAGCGAAACCAUCUUCGACCAUUGAAUGUCGUGUCAACAUAUGCUCGAUAAAUGGUCCUCCAUGCUUCCAAGUCCCAGAAAUAGUAAAUUUUCCUAAGUGCCCAUGAUGGACUUCUGUUGAUAUUUAUGGAGAUUGACAUCAUCAAUACAAGAGUUAUGACAUAUCCAACCAGGAAAAGAGAGCCCCUGUUUUUCUUGCUUUUUUUGCCAUCUCUGCUUUUGUAUACUUUUUUGGGUGAUUAUAACAUUCCAAAUAGUUUAAAUAUAACUGCAUGCCUUGCUGAAAAAAAUAUUUUGGAAUUCUUCAGAAAUUCCCGGAACUGCAAUUUAAUUUGUGGUUAGAGCCUAUUUAUUAUCUUUGCCCGAAUGCCAUUUCUUAGCUGUAGUCUACUUUUUGUCGUGUUUAAGUGAAAUAUGAUUCUGUAAAUAUUUUCUAAGUUCCUAGUUCCACUUAGAGAUCUCUUGAAACUCUGCAACUUUGGUCUUAUGCUUCUCAUAACAUCCAGUUAUAAGGCAUCUAUUGACAGUAGUGGUGGUGAAGGUAAAGUAUAGAAAACAAUGGCAUCCUCCCAUCUCUACUCAACGCCCAACAACGCCCAUUCAAAAUUUCGCUGGCCUUUGUAUUAAGAUUGCCCUUUUUAAACCAACUCCCGCAGUGUUCAAUACUGUGUAUUUUACUAAGUGAAGCUUCAUAUCUUUAUUUUUGAUCAAAUUUUAAUUCUUUCUAUGUUUGUCAAUUAUCAUAUUAUUUCGUUCAACAACAUUUAUACAAAAAUUAUGGCUUAGUCUAAAAUACUUUUAAAUCCAUCAAACCAUCUUCAUAUAAUCUUAAUUUCACAUGGUGUUCUGGUGCUUAGAUUAGACAUUUUAGAUAAUGUAUGAUGGAUUGUAAGUUAUAUUAUUUUAUUAAGGAAUCAUUCUUCAUAGUCUAAAAUACUUUUAAAUCCAUCAAACCAUCUUCGUAGUAAAAAAUUAAUAUAAUCUUAAUUUCACAUGGUGUGAAGGUGCUUAGAUUAGGCAUUUUACAUAGUGUAUGAUGAAUUGCAAGUUAGAUUAUUUUAUUAAGAAAUCAUUCUAGAAUAUUUUUUGAGUACAAUUGAAUUGAACAUGUAUUAAAUUAAGCAUAUUAAAAAAACAUUGAUGGAAUUUGAGUUAUUGGAGUUUGGGUCAUUACAUGUGGUGUAGAAAGGUUCAAAAGCUAGGCCUUUUACCCUAUUACAAUUUGUGUAAAUUAAAAUUGUGUAAUCUUUUUAGUUUUGAAUUGAAUUUUGUGAACUUAU